UACGUAGGUGGCAAGCGUUGUCCGGAUUUACUGGGCGUAAAGAGCGCGCAGGCGGUCGUUCAAGUCGCGUGUGAAAGCCCCCGGCUCAACUGGGGAGGGUCACGCGAUACUGAUCGACUCGAAGGCAGGAGAGGGAAGUGGAAUUCCCGGUGUAGUGGUGAAAUUCGUAGAUAUUCGGAAGAACACCAGUGGCGAAGGCGGCUCACUGGUCGGUACUGACGCUGAGGUGCGAAAGCGUGGGGAGCAAACAGG
rnacentral:rRNA from 1 species